GACGAACGCUGGCGGCGUGCUUAACACAUGCAAGUCGAACGGGGAUUAAGUUGGAAAGGCUUCGGCCCGGAAGACAUAAUUCGAGUGGCGGACGGGUGAGUAACGCGUGAGCAACCUGUCCCAGACAGGGGGAUAACACUUGGAAACAGGUGCUAAUACCGCAUAAGACCACGGGGUCACAUGGCUCUGGGGUAAAAGGAGCAAUCCGGUUUGGGGUGGGCUCGCGUCCGAUUAGAGAGUUGGUGAGGUAACGGCCCACCAAGUCAACGAUCGGUAGCCGACCUGAGAGGGUGAUCGGCCACAUUGGAACUGAGAGACGGUCCAAACUCCUACGGGAGGCAGCAGUGGGGAAUAUUGGGCAAUGGGCGAAAGCCUGACCCAGCAACGCCGCGUGAGUGAAGAAGGCCUUCGGGUUGUAAAGCUCUGUUAUAGGGGACGAAGGAAGUGACGGUACCCUAUAAGGAAGCCCCGGCUAACUACGUGCCAGCCGCCGCGGUAAAAC
rnacentral:rRNA from 1 species